AGGCUGCUAGCCUAUUUGGCCAAGCUUCUCCAAGGCCAAAGAUUUAAAAAAAAAUGCUUUUUUUUCAAAGUUGAGGUGUUCGGCCAAGCUUUUUAGAGAAGAAAAAGUACUUUUGACAGUAGUUGUUGGAAAAACUGAAAAAAGUAGCCUCUCCCAAAAGUACUUUUUGAAAAGCACUUUUAUGAAAAUACACUUAGAAGCACGUUUUAAAGGCUUGGCCAAACGCUAAUUGCUGCUCAAAAGUUCUUUUCAAAUUGAUUGCCAAACACAAACUGCUUCUCACCAAAAAUACUUUUUUUAAAGCACUUUUCAAAAUAAGCUGAUUUUAGAAGUGUUACGUCCCGUAUUUUUAUACAUUGGGACAACCCGGAUUAACUAUGAUAAAUUAAGGCCAAGACUAUUCCGGGAUUUGAAGUCGGGACUUUUGACCUUUGAUUUUAUUUUGAGACAUAAGUUGUGUAUGAAAUUGUUAGCUUGAACACUUAGGAAAAAUUGGGACCAUAAUUCAUAAAUUUGGAAAUUAAAACUCUUGCAUAAAAAAAAAAAAAGGGAAGAUGUGUGGAUUGAAGUGGUCCCCACACAUUGUUGUGGCCAAUUUUAAUUGGUCCAACACAUGUGUGGGCCCAAAGACAAUAAGAGAUAUUUUAAGGGGACUUAAAAGAUGACCACUUAGUCAUCUUUCUCUCAUUUCACAUUCCCACACUUAGAAAAUAAAGCAAGAAGUUGAGGAACCAAAACCAUGGCUCACGGCCAAGACCAUGGAAAACCAAAUCCAAAUCAAGCCCCUCUAAAAAAUAUUUCUUGGGUACAAAUCAACUAAUUAGAGGUCCCUAAGUAACUUGGAAGCAUUGUUGGAGUGAUCAAGUCUUUCAUUUAAGAGAUUUGCAAACCCUAGCCUAUUGGUGGAUUGAAGAAGAAAGGUGAGAUCUAAUCUUGUUUUUGAGUUAUAAAUGUUGUAUGCAUAUUAUAGUAUGUCAAUAUGGAUGAAAAAUCAUGAAAUGUAGUAUGUUGGAAGUUGGGUCGUGUAUGGUGUGUGAAGUUGUGUAAAUGGGUGUUGUGACUAAGUGAAGAAUUAACUCUAUUUAGUAUGUUGAUUGUUGUAGGGUGAAGAAAUGAAUGAGAACUAUCGAUGUAUGUAUAUAGGUGGGUAUGUAGCCGUGUAUAUGGCCUCCAAUUUGUAGCAAAGAAUGAAUUAAUAUCGCUUAGCGUCGAAAUGGUUGUUGUGAUGACUUUUGUGUUGGAAAUGAGCAAUUAAUAACUCAAGAUUGAUGUUGAGAAUUUGUGGGCUGUUUUGAGGUUAGUUGUGCGUUUGACGUAAGUUGUAUAUUUUAUGAAAAUCAUAUCGUUCUAUUGUGGAUUGUGAUACAAAACAUGACUUGAAAAUGAGGAAAGUGAAAAAACAAAAAAAAAGGGGGUUGCUCGGCUAAGGGGACUGUUUUCGGGCAACAUAGAGAAAAAUUCUUGGCUUGUUGGAAAAAUUAUGUGAAUUGUUUAGAAUGUUCUUGAAUGUUGUUAGUAUGGAUUUGGGUUAAUAAUCGAAUGUACGAACGAUAUUGUGGCUUGAAAGUAAGCCGUUGAAACGAAUAUUUGGAAAGUUGUUGAAAGAUGUAAAAGAGAGCUAUUACUGUUGUUUUGCCUUUCGAAUUGAUUAUUGAUGUUGCUAGGUUGGUUAUUGUGGUUGUUGUUGUUGAUUUUGAGCGAGAUAAAUUCUCGGGAUGGCCUAUUUAUAGGGGAAGUGCUGCCGAAUUUUCUGUAGAAUUUAAUGAUUAGUUGGAAAGAAUGGCUCAAGUGCCCUUAACUAAUGUUUGGUAUUCGUUGGCGUAUUUGUAGACCUUGGGGAGCCCGAGGCGUGGAUUGGAAAUUUACUUUAGAUUGGCUAUUUUGGAAGGGCGUACGAGGUACAGACGCACAGCCUGGUGAUCCACCUGUUUAGGACACCCUUUCUGCUAUUCGGAGUGCUCCUCUCUUUCCGGAGCUUAUACUUUUGGUAUAUAUAUUUAUUAGUGCAUUUGUAUAUAUUCGUUCAUGGGUACGGCGGGGCCCUGUCCCGUCAUAUGAUUCUGUCGGUCUGUUUAGAGGUCUGUGGACAUGUUUGUGGGUUGGGGUCUUUCUGUAUGGAUGUAUGUACAUGUCGUUUGGGCGAUCCCAUACGCCGAGGCGGCCGGUCCGCAUAUGUUGUUUGGGCGAUCCUAUACGCCGAGGCGGCCGGUCCGUAUAUGUUUAUAUAUUGCUUGGUUAGCCCUGUGUGGCUUUUGUUGGUA